UCUCAUAUUUAUACCUAGAAAAAAAGAAUAAUAUCAGGUAUCUGUCAGGCCACAGAGCUGUGUGCAGGUUUGUCUUGCUAUGUGAGUCUUGCUUCUCCUUUCCAAUAUUCAGGGUGAUGUGCUGUUUAAUUUUUUCCACCCAUUUUGCAUGUGAGCCAAAUUUUAAACUUUGUUUUAAUUUUGACCAGAACACAUUCCACAUGUUUGUGUCAGGAUCUGGGUUGUGUUUGUGCUUGCCACAUGUGUUUUGUUUCAGACUGUGCUGGAGCACAGGUGCGACUUGUUCACUGAUUACUAGGAGGAGUACUUAAGCAGGAGGCUGCCAGCACUUCAAUGUGAGAGUGUUUUGCCACCAGUGGUACAAACUCGAGCCACAUUCAAGUUUAUGCCUCGUACUUCGACCUUCGUUUAACUUUGUUUUUGCUCCUCUGCAGAUUUUGAGAACCUAAGCUUUGGAUCCAUGUCACUGAGUUUCUGGACUUUGUUUCUGGAAGUUAUUCUGGAUGAUCAAGCCUAUCUUCAUUCUGAGGAUUCCUAACCUAUCAUCUGCCUUUGUUUGGAUUCGUAUCAAGCUGGCAGCUUCCUGUCCUCUCCUGAGCCAAGCCACAAGCAUACCCUGUCCACCUUCCAACGUAAACCACCGCACAUUGUACUUGUUUCUUUGUUCCGAGCUCACACAGAACAGCACCAAGUGAACUCUCUAUGGAUAUCCCGUUUAAGACCUGGAUCCUGAGUCUCAUUCCCCCGGCGACCUGACCACCAUAACACAUGAGAUUUUCGUCCGUUUCGUUCCUGAUUACAUCACCAAUAAAACAGUCUUUAUUGUACUUCCUUA